UACGGAGGGUGCAAGCGUUAUCCGGAUUUACUGGGUUUAAAGGGUGUGUAGGCGGACUUUUAAGUCAGGGGUGAAAUCCCGAGGCUCAACCUCGGAACUGCCUUUGAUACUAUUGGUCUUGAAUCUUGUUGAGGUGGGCGGAACGGGUCAUGUAGCGGUGAAAUGCAUAGAUAUGACCCGGAACACCGAUUGCGAAGGCAGCCCGCUAAGCAAGCAUUGACGCUGAGGCACGAAAAGCGUGGGGGAUCAAAACAGG
rnacentral:rRNA from 1 species